AGUGCUUAUUGAUCUAGUGGUUAUUGAUCUAGUUAGUGUUUACUGAUCUAGUGGUUACAUUUCUAGUUGUUAUUGAUCUAGUGGUUAUUGAUCUAGUGGUUAUUGAUCAAUGGUUAUUGAUCUCGUGGUUACUGAUCUACUUUGUGAUUAUUGAUGUAGUGGUUACUGAUCUAGUGGUUAUUGAUCUAGUUGUUAUUGAUCUAGUGGUUCUGAUCUAGUGGUUAUUGAUCUAGUGGUUAGUGAUCUAGUGGUUAUGGAUGUAGUUGUUAUUGAUCUAGAGGUUAUUGAUCUAGUGGUUAUUUAUCUAGUCGUUACUGAUCUAGUGGUUAUUGAUCUAGUGGUUACUGAUCUAGUGGUUAAUUUUCUAGUGGUUACUGAUCUAGUGGUUAUUGAUCUAGUGGUUACUGAUCUAGUGGUUAUUGAUCUACUCGUUACUGAUCUAGUGGUUAUUGAUCUAGUGGUUAUUUUUCUAGUGGUUACUGAUCUACUUAGUGGUUAUUGAUGUAGUGGUUACUGAUCUAGUGGUUAUUGAUCUAGUAGUUAUUGAUCUAGUUGUUAAUGAUCUAGUGGUUAUUGAUCUAG
rnacentral:lncRNA from 1 species